rnacentral:rRNA from 1 species
GGUCAAGUGAAUAAGUGCAUCAGGCGGAUGCCUUGGCGAUGAUAGGCGACGAAGGACGUGUAAGCCUGCGAAAAGCGUGGGGGAGCUGGCAAUAAAGCUAUGAUUCCGCGAUGUCCGAAUGGGGAAACCCACUGCAUUCUGUGCAGUAUCCUAAGUUGAAUACAUAGGCUUAGAGAAGCGAACCCGGAGAACUGAACCAUCUAAGUACCCGGAGGAAAAGAAAUCAACCGAGAUUCCGCAAGUAGUGGCGAGCGAACGCGGAGGAGCCUGUACGUAAUAACUGUCGAGAUAGAAGAACAAGCUGGGAAGCUUGACCAUAGCGGGUGACAGUCCCGUAUUCGAAAUCUCAACAGCGGUACUAAGCGUACGAAAAGUAGGGCGGGACACGUGAAAUCCUGUCUGAAUAUGGGGGGACCAUCCUCCAAGGCUAAAUACUCAUCAUCGACCGAUAGUGAACCAGUACCGUGAGGGAAAGGCGAAAAGAACCCCGGGAGGGGAGUGAAACAGAACCUGAAACCUGAUGCAUACAAACAGUGGGAGCGCCCUAGUGGUGUGACUGCGUACCUUUUGUAUAAUGGGUCAACGACUUACAUUCAGUAGCGAGCUUAACCGGAUAGGGGAGGCGUAGGGAAACCGAGUCUUAAUAGGGCGAUGAGUUGCUGGGUGUAGACCCGAAACCGAGUGAUCUAUCCAUGGUCAGGUUGAAGGUGCCGUAACAGGUACUGGAGGACCGAACCCACGCAUGUUGCAAAAUGCGGGGAUGAGCUGUGGGUAGGGGUGAAAGGCUAAACAAACUCGGAGAUAGCUGGUUCUCCCCGAAAACUAUUUAGGUAGUGCCUCGAGCAAGACACUGAUGGGGGUAAAGCACUGUUAUGGCUAGGGGGUUAUUGCAACUUACCAACCCAUGGCAAACUCAGAAUACCAUCAAGUGGUUCCUCGGGAGACAGACAGCGGGUGCUAACGUCCGUUGUCAAGAGGGAAACAACCCAGACCGCCGGCUAAGGUCCCAAAUGAUAGAUUAAGUGGUAAACGAAGUGGGAAGGCACAGACAGCCAGGAUGUUGGCUUAGAAGCAGCCAUCAUUUAAAGAAAGCGUAAUAGCUCACUGGUCGAGUCGUCCUGCGCGGAAGAUGUAACGGGGCUCAAAUCUAUAACCGAAGCUGCGGAUGCCGGUUUACCGGCAUGGUAGGGGAGCGUUCUGUAGGCUGAUGAAGGUGCAUUGUAAAGUGUGCUGGAGGUAUCAGAAGUGCGAAUGUUGACAUGAGUAGCGAUAAAGCGGGUGAAAAGCCCGCUCGCCGAAAGCCCAAGGUUUCCUACGCAACGUUCAUCGGCGUAGGGUAAGUCGGCCCCUAAGGCGAGGCAGAAAUGCGUAGUCGAUGGGAAACAGGUUAAUAUUCCUGUACUUGAUUCAAAUGCGAUGUGGGGACGGAGAAGGUUAGGUUGGCAAGCUGUUGGAAUAGCUUGUUUAAGCCGGUAGGUGGAAGACUUAGGCAAAUCCGGGUUUUCUUAACACCGAGAAGUGAUGACGAGUGUCUACGGACACGAAGCAACCGAUACCACGCUUCCAGGAAAAGCCACUAAGCUUCAGUUUGAAUCGAACCGUACCGCAAACCGACACAGGUGGGCAGGAUGAGAAUUCUAAGGCGCUUGAGAGAACUCGGGAGAAGGAACUCGGCAAAUUGAUACCGUAACUUCGGGAGAAGGUAUGCCCUCUAAGGUUAAGGACUUGCUCCGUAAGCCCCGGAGGGUCGCAGAGAAUAGGUGGCUGCGACUGUUUAUUAAAAACACAGCACUCUGCCAACACGAAAGUGGACGUAUAGGGUGUGACGCCUGCCCGGUGCCGGAAGGUUAAUUGAAGAUGUGCAAGCAUCGGAUCGAAGCCCCGGUAAACGGCGGCCGUAACUAUAACGGUCCUAAGGUAGCGAAAUUCCUUGUCGGGUAAGUUCCGACCCGCACGAAUGGCGUAACGAUGGCCACACUGUCUCCUCCCGAGACUCAGCGAAGUUGAAGUGGUUGUGAAGAUGCAAUCUACCCGCUGCUAGACGGAAAGACCCCGUGAACCUUUACUGUAGCUUUGCAUUGGACUUUGAAGUCACUUGUGUAGGAUAGGUGGGAGGCUUGGAAGCAGAGACGCCAGUCUCUGUGGAGUCGUCCUUGAAAUACCACCCUGGUGUCUUUGAGGUUCUAACCCAGACCCGUCAUCCGGGUCGGGGACCGUGCAUGGUAGGCAGUUUGACUGGGGCGGUCUCCUCCCAAAGCGUAACGGAGGAGUUCGAAGGUUACCUAGGUCCGGUCGGAAAUCGGACUGAUAGUGCAAUGGCAAAAGGUAGCUUAACUGCGAGACCGACAAGUCGGGCAGGUGCGAAAGCAGGACAUAGUGAUCCGGUGGUUCUGUAUGGAAGGGCCAUCGCUCAACGGAUAAAAGGUACUCCGGGGAUAACAGGCUGAUUCCGCCCAAGAGUUCAUAUCGACGGCGGAGUUUGGCACCUCGAUGUCGGCUCAUCACAUCCUGGGGCUGUAGUCGGUCCCAAGGGUAUGGCUGUUCGCCAUUUAAAGUGGUACGUGAGCUGGGUUUAAAACGUCGUGAGACAGUUUGGUCCCUAUCUGCAGUGGGCGUUGGAAGUUUGACGGGGGCUGCUCCUAGUACGAGAGGACCGGAGUGGACGAACCUCUGGUGUACCGGUUGUAACGCCAGUUGCAUAGCCGGGUAGCUAAGUUCGGAAGAGAUAAGCGCUGAAAGCAUCUAAGCGCGAAACUCGCCUGAAGAUGAGACUUCCCUUGCGGUUUAACCGCACUAAAGGGUCGUUCGAGACCAGGACGUUGAUAGGUGGGGUGUGGAAGCGCGGUAACGCGUGAAGCUAACCCAUACUAAUUGCCCGUGAGGCUUGACUCU